CGAGUGGCGGACGGGUGAGUAAUGUCUGGGAAACUGCCUGAUGGAGGGGGAUAACUACUGGAAACGGUAGCUAAUACCGCAUAACGUCGCAAGACCAAAGAGGGGGACCUUCGGGCCUCUUGCCAUCGGAUGUGCCCAGAUGGGAUUAGCUAGUAGGUGGGGUAACGGCUCACCAAGGCGACGAUCCAUAGCCGACCUGAGAGGGUGACCGGCCACAUUGGGACUGAGACACGGCCCAA
rnacentral:rRNA from 1 species